ACCGCCGGCAAGGGUGGGCAUUUCCCCUCCCUCUCUGCCGCGGUUGUGCUCGGGGUCGGGGUCUUUUCUCGCCGUUGUUGCUUCCCGGCUGAGCUGCUGGCCAGGAGAGCUUUCCUCCUCCGGCCAGGCGCUCGCUGCCCUGCAGCUUGCAGGUUGCGAUGCUGGAGGCAGGCCUGGCAUCGGGGAGGAACGGGGCAGCGGCAGAGGCAGACAGGGGUCCCUGCCUGGGCGCUGCGGCCUCAUCCCUGCCUGAGGGCACCCCCCAACCACCGUCCUGCCUCCCCUCCGCUCCCUCCGAGCUCCACGCGGUGCUGGCCGCAGGCAGCAGCCCCCUCGCCUGCCCAGGGUGGCCGGAGGCUGCGCAGAAACACCCCCCUGCCCCCGUCCCCUCUCGGCUGUGCUGGGUUGGUGAGUGGUGGGCUCCGGACCCUGCGCUGGGGAGCUGUGCUAGGAGGGGCUGCGGGUCUGUGGUGGCAGCGAGGCGUUCAGGUGAUGGGUCUGUGCAGAGCAGCAGCCAGCCUCUCUCGCCUGGGGGGUCUGUUCCGCAUGGGUGCCCACCCAGGGCAGCCCCCACACUUGUAUCCCAAGCUUGAAGUUGGUGGCCAAGGCUUUUGAGAUCCCCGUGGGGACCCCGAGGUCCCUCUGUGGCACCGCAGUCCCUGUUCAGGCGGUUUGGAGCCUGCAGGGCCGCACGGUUCUGUCUGCUUGUCCCCCGCUGAGCCCGGAGCCGGGGGCACGGCCGGGCAGGAGCGCUGGGCUCUGCGGGGGCUCAGCCUCUCCCUGCACUAGCAGACCUGUCAAGCCAUGCAGGGCGAUGGCUGGCGGGGGACCGGCCGAGACCCCCCCGGCCAUCCCAAGGGCUUUGAGCAGGAACAAACAGGGAGGAGGGGGAUCUGAUGGGGUCUGUCCAGGCACUUUGCUCGGGGAUGGGAUGCUGAAUGCAUGUGCAAGCUUGUCUCAUGGUGUGGCUGGAACAGCGAGCAGAGGGGAAGGGGACGGAGGCCAGCAGCCUCCCGCAGGGCUGCUCGUCCUCCCCAAAGCUGUAGGAGCUGGGCUAAGCAUCAGGCUCUGCACCGUCCCGGGGGGCUCCCCAUGGCAUCCCAGCCCACGAACUGGAGCUUAAGCCAGUGGCACCAGCUCCUUCCACCCCCUCCCUCCUGCUCCAGCUCCCCCAGAGCUGACGGGGGGCCGGGGGGCUGCAGCAUCCCCUGGGGGAUUACACGCACCGGGGAGCUGCGCUCCCCUGGAUUUUGGAGCAAGCAGCGCAGCGGAUAGAGCUGGGUGAAGGGGGAUGUGGGGAAAGGAGCUUAGGAGGAGGAGGAGGAUAAUGCGAAUUCAUUGUUUCUCAGGGAAGCAGCUUUCAGGCGUAAGGUGCUUUGUCAUGAGAGAUCUCGGUGCAGCCGCCGAUCCCCUCCGGUCAGGAGGCCGUCGUGGCUUGCAGAGCCUUCUCCUGGUAGGGCGUUAAUUCUGCCCAGGGACUUAAUGAGCUGCCAUGGCUGUGAAAGCAAACUGCUCCGGAGUUUCCACUUGCAGCUCCGUAGCUGCUGCGUGGCUUCAUGGAGCUCCAGCCGGUGCAGGGCGCAGGGCAGCAGUGCCGGGGUGCCCGUCCCUGGAGGAGCUCCACACACAGCUCCCCCAGUGCGUUUGCUGGCUGUGGCAGUGGGCAGGGCAGUGCCGCUCGAGGGUCUCCCUUCCCCGUCCCACGCGGUGCACAUAGCCAGCAAGCCCGGGACGGCCAGCUCUUGGCAUGCCAGGAGAGAGGGCAGGCGAGGGCUUUGCUCCCGGCAGAGCGGCUGAGCAUCAUUUCUUGGCAUCACGGGCGUCUCUCCGUCGCGAGCGUGGGAGGAAGCGGAGGGGUUUGGUUUCCCUGCGUGGCGGGAGCGCGGCCACCGUCGGGAGCGCUGCGGGGAGCGCUGCGGUGGCAGGCGGCAGCGGGUGGCUCAGUAAUCGACACUGCAACAGGCUGAGAUGCCAAAGCAAAAUGUCUUCAAAUUAGCAGUAAUUGCAGGCGAAAUAAAGAGCAUGUGGGGCGAGUGGAAGGAGGGUUCUAUAAAUAUUAUGAUUUUUAAAGUUUGCCCUGGAGUCCUAGAGCCUGUUUAAACGCUAAUAUCCUGUCUGUGCAUUUAAAAAGCCUUAUAAUGAGGAUUGAGUGUCUGCUUCCAGAGCACCUCCUGCCUGGUGCUCCCCUUCUGCCCACGUCACCUGUCUGCCGCUCCUGGUGGCAUCCCGGCCCAGGCUGCCCUGUGCCCAGCACCAGUGGUGCCACGCAUGCCCCUGCUCUCGCCCCUGCUCAGGGAUGUGCUAACCCCCCUGGGCAGCCUUGACCAUCCCAUCCUGCCCCUUGCACUGGCACCCCAUGGGCUUCUGCCGAAGCCUCCCACUGCAGCCUGCAAGGCUGGUGUGCAGCGUUGCACCAGCUCGGGGGGGUGCAUUUUCUUAGGAACUGCCCGUUGGGCAGCAGGUCUGGUCUCAGGGAAGGGGAGGCUCUGGGAAUGCAGCAUUUUGGGUCCCCGGGUCUGCAGGUGCUCAUUCCUUCCAUCGCCCUCCAUCAUUUGUGCAUCACCCUCCAUCCUGCGCCAGGCCCUGUGGUGGCCGUGGCUCCGGCCCCAGCAGCACCGGUGCGGCACACCCUGCUGAGUGUGGUGCAGCCGUUUUACCUGCUGCGGCCCUGCCAGCGCUGCCCACCCGGCCUGCGAGCUCGAGGUGCUCGACAGCAUCUGUUCUGCCACGGUUCUGCUGCCUGCACGUUAAUUCUCAUUAAAUCUAGGGAGCCUAAUUGCCAUUUCAUGUAAAUAUUUUGUCAAGCGAAAGGGCUUUAGGAAGGGCCGCGCUGACUGAAGGCAAGAAGCCAGGGUCUCUCGCCGCUGCAGUGACAAGCUCCUGUUUGUCCUGCCCAACCACAGGUGUAAAACGUGUCCCCGCGGGAGCUGCCGCAUGUCCCGCCGUGAGCCCAGAGCUUGGAUGUGGCCGGCUGCUGGGAGGUCCCUGUGCACCGUUUGCUUGUGCUGGAUAACGGGGGAACACCGGCUUCCCUGCUCACACAUCUUGCAGGAUGCGGGCUCCGCUUUGUGGAGAGCACUGAGGGUCCCGAGGCAAUUCCCGUGUUGGCUGAAGGGCAGAGGAGGGAUGGCACAAGGGGAAGCAGGACAUCCCCGGGUGCUGGCCUGGCUGCUGUCCUGCUCUGCACAGCACUGGCAGCUCCGGCUGGAGGUCAAAGCAUCUCCAGGCCCCCGUCCCAUCCCCUCCUGCAGUGGGCAAGGAAAGUUUCGGUGCGGUGGUGUUUUUCCCGAGAUCCCAUUAAACUUUCAUGUGCUUUCUCUGCAUUUCUGCUCCCCUCCCGGCUGCCACAGCAGCUGUCUCAGAUACUUGCCUCGUGUUGGUCAUGGUCCCCUCUUCACCUGAUGAUGUCAUACCCAGGUGCUGACAUCCCCACCCCUGCCUGGGAUCUGUGACCUCACUGUGGCAGGCAGGGAGGCAGCAGCCGGCGGCAGAGGCAAGAUCUGGGUCAGCAGCAGCGAGGGUGCUGGGAAGGUGCAGAGCGGAGGUUUUCAGUACAAUCUCCGGCUUCUUUGGGAGUUCAAAGCAGGUGCGGGGGGGGGACUCCAGUAACCCCCCCGCGAGCUGCUGGAGGAGGAAGGAGCAGGGGAAGAUGGAGAGGAAUUCUAACUGGGUGCAGAGGAGGCUCAGCCAGGUGUCCCUGGGGAGCUGGGGCAUCCUCCCCAACAUCCCACCUGCACUCCUCCAGGGUCCCUGCACCCUGUCAGGGCUGCUCCUUAACAGCCAUAUCAGGUUCCAAUACACCUGCAGUUAGUUUAAACCACAUCUGUCUUUUAGAGAUGGAGCAAGAAACCAGGAAUCUAUAGGCGGCUGCGUGGCUGUCUCCAGAGAUGGGGGAGCAUGCGGGGAUUCGGGGCAGCACGUGACGCGGGGACGGUGUGAGCUGAGCCAGCUGGGCCAGGAGCUGUGACACGGCCAGGGCUGGCGAUGCUGGUGGUGGGAGGAAGCGCUGUGGUUUACGCUGUUGCUGUUGCUGGGUGCUCUAUGCCAGCUGGUCCCGCAGUUGGGGGACCCCUGCCUGGGAACGCUCAGCGUGCGCAGCCCCCAUGGCUCCCCGCUCUUCCCGUGCUCCUCGGCACCCAUCACGCUCUGGGAGAGGCAUCCCCGUCCCAGUGCAGUCCCAGUAAAUUCUGAUGCUGGUCCUGCGCAGAGGGGCCAGGAGGGCCCAAGGAGAGCUCGGGCAGAAGAAGCAGUGGUACAGUGAUGGCGUGUAGGCAGCCAGGGUGGUGGGCAAGGACCUCUCUGCAGCAGGGCAGACCCUGCUGGCCACGCAGUGCUCUCGCCCAUCACCUCUGUCGGUCCCUUUUCGCUGUUCUGGUCUGUGCCUGGCGCUGGGGCACUGCCUGCGGCUGAGCCAACGGGUGUGCGGGGCUUUCCCCUCGCUUCACGGCAGCUCAGAUCCGUCAGUGCCUUCAUCUAAUUGCUUUAUGUCUAUGACUAACUACUAAUGAGCUUUUAAUUAAUGAAUGCCGCGGCUUGGGGGCAUUCUGGAGCGGGUAGGAGGAGAGGACUAGGCGGGUGCCCCGCUCCCGGGGUGCUGUGGAGCUGCUGGCACUGCACUCGCAGGCUGACCCCGUGGAGGCUGGGAGCAGCCGACCUCGCUGGUCCUCGCAGCGGCAGCUGUGCUUCAGCCUGGCCUGCAUCCCCUCCUGGCAGCUCUCCCGAGUGGCAGCGUACGGGCUUGCGCCCCGGCUUUGCACUGCGAGCGCGUGCUGGGGGGUGCCACGGGGGUCCCAUAAAACACUGGACACUUGCAGCCCCUGAGGCAUCCAGCCCACCCGUGGUUGUGCAUUGCGUCCCCACAGCAGGUCCAUGGGCCACCGCAUCAUCCCUCUCUGCCAUGGGAGAGGGUGUGGGAUGGCAUCCCAGUGAGGACUGCAGUGGUGGGGGCUGCGAUUUCCCGUUGCAUCCCUUGUAGGGGGUGGGUCGGGGGUCUGGACGUGGCGUUGGGGGCAGCCCUUGGCAGGCAGCAGGUCUGACGUGUGUUCAGGGGCUUGGUGCAACGUGCACCUGGAUGCGCGGGACGUGCCACAGUCAUGCCGUGUCUCUGGUCUGCACAGCAGCGCCUGCUCAGGCAGGCUCGGGGGCAGAGCCCUGGCCAGGGCUCCAGGCAGACCUCGGAGCCCUCAUUUCUGUCAGAUAAAGUUUCCAAAUGGCUGAGGCGAGCGUGCCUCGGAGGGGAGCUGAGCACCCGGCGGUUCUGGCAUCUCCCUGGGAGUGGGAGCCGGCAGUGCCACACCGGCCACAGCGGGUCUCUGCCGCUGGGCCAGCUCCUGACCACGCGUGGCCAGUACAUCCCGGCUGCCUGGGAGCAGCCCAAAGCAUCACGCUUUCCCUGGCGGGUUCCCUCGGCGAUUCGGGGGGCACACGCCCGUCAGCCCUCCCAGCACUGGCUCUGCCCCUCAGCUCUGGUGCCUCACUGAGCUCCGGACCAGCGGCUGAGGCCGCUCCUGUCCCGGCGCCAUGUUGUUCUCCCUCUUCCAGAAAACAAAACCAAGGAGCCCUCAAGGGUUCAUUUAAAAUAAAUAAAAAAUGAAAAUAGUGCUGAUUUGAAGGAAAGCCAGCCCCAUCCUGUGCAUGGGAGCGCAUCGCCAACCCAUCCCCGAAGGGCAGAGAGAAAGAUGUGCUUAGAACUGCAGCCCUGUGCAACUUCUGCCUUUGAUCAUAUAUCUUACAUGUGCCCUUUGCUUUCCCUCGUCUGAUAUUUAUUAGGUUUAAUUUUACUGGGACGCGGCUGUAAGUGAGACAGAUGGAACGGGGUCUGUGCGCCUGGUGAACACAUCUUAAUUAAACAGAUAAAUAAACUUUCAUUCCAGGAGACUUCAGUUUUGGAGGGGUUCCUCUGGGGCUGCGGCUCCGCGGGGCUGGGCAGUCCUGGCUGGGGCUCCUCGGCCCCAGGCACCAUGGGGCUGCCCCGGCACAGCCCUGGUGCCACUGCCAGUGCCAUCGGCCGGGGCUGCAGCGUGCCGUCACCGCCAGGGCAGCUGGGAGCGGCAGGGCGAGGGAAAUCGGCUGGUGGUGGCCAGGGACGUGUUCCCUACUCUGGAGCCGGCCGGUGGGUUGGUAUAGCCCUGCUGUGCCGGUGUCCCACAGGGGCUCCCCGCUGCCGUGGGGGCACCUCUGCAGGCAGGCAGAUAGAUGUUGGUGAUGGCUGGAGGAGGGAGAGGGGAGACUUGAACGCUCCUCAGCUCCCAGAGCCAUGCCCGGUUCCCCCACUGCUGGGGUAUUUAUCCUGGGGAAACAUGGCUAGUUCCUGCCGCUGCCGGUGGUGCAGAGGGUCUGCACCAGCAGUGUCGGGGCUGGGGUAUCUGCCCGACGUGUUGCUCUGUGCAUUCUCCCUGCAGGAGAGCAGCGUCUCUCCUUGCCGUGCGGCUGGAGCCAGCCCGGACCUUUCCGCGACGCGGGCUGCUGGCUCGGGGCAGUGCCAGGGCUCAUGGCGCUGCCACUGGCCAGGAGCGCCUUUGAGUCACCCUGCCCGGAGCCAGGCUCCGGCGCGGGGGAGGACGGGCAGAUUACCUCAUCCUGGAGCCGGCUCCCGCCUCACGUGGUUUGCUUGGUUGGGCACUGCAAGCCCAGAGCGUCAGGCCGUGCCCUUCCCUUUUCACCUCUGCCUGAGAGCAGUGCCGGAGCUGCGGUGGAGCCAGACCGGACCAGGGCCUUUGGAGUUGUCCAUCACCUUGCCCAGGGCAUCCCUCACCCUGCGCCAGGGUGCUGUGCGGUGCUCAGGUGCAUGUGGGUGCCUGGUGGGGACCCUCUCCCCACAGCUGCACAAGGGGCCGUGGGAGGACGUGCUUGUCCCCCAGCCCUUGCAAAGCUGCCCCGCGUCCUGUCCCGGGCACCAGAGCGUGCAGGAAAGUAUGGCAACCGGGGCCAUAGGAGUCCCUGGGGAAGGGGAGCUGGGGCAAGCAAGGAGCAUGGGUCUGAGCACCGAGGUGUGCAGGAUGGGCUGCUGCAUCGGGAUCCGUCGUGGUCCCUUGGGAGCUGGAGGGUGAGCGGUUGUGGGGGGACACGGGAGCUCGCUGCAGCCCAUGCUCCUCGCAGGGAGCAACGGCUGGAGGAUGCUGUUAGUAGUGAUGUUGCUGCCAGACUCCUUUCGGCUCUCAGUACCGCGGGGCGGUGGUGAUGAGAAACCCUCCCCCUGGCCCGGCAUCCCCUCCCUGAUUUGGCACCUUGCGGUCCCUUUGGAGCCUGGUCACCCCAGCAGCAGGACCCCACGGGGGGGCUGACACCCCCUUGGCCCUAGGCGCCGCUCCUUCAGGACGGCUUUUCCCAGAGCUGUUUGUUUCCACCAGGUUUGCCCGGUGGCUCUGGGCCGGCCGUGCCACACACCGCUGCUGUUGAGUAUCUGCAGCAGAAACGGGAACCGCUGCGAGUGUACCAGGACACUGCAGCAUGUCGCUAUGUCUGGGGAUACUGUGGAAAAUCCCAGCCUCCGAAUAGGGCUGGUCGUGUGCUGGAGGCUCCGGCGGAGACGGAGCAUCAGCAGCUGCUGGCACAGACCUGCCUUUGUGCAUCACAUUUGGCCAAGAUGGAAACUGAACUGAGCCCAGGUUUUGUUUCCCACAUACCCAAGCACUACGCCGUCCCGGCUGCUUCGUUGCUGGCCGCGGCUCUGAAGUCGGGUGCGACGCAGUGCCGGCAGUGUGGGGCGCCGAGGCAGGGACCCCCGUGCCAGCGCCGAACUUUGCAGCACCAGAGAGUACCAGGGCUGCCGCAGGGCCACAACGGGAGGAGGCGCGAGGUGGGACCGGGGACCCGAACGAGCACACGUGCGUGCCCACGCCGGCUAUCCCUCGCGGGCACCGGCACGUAGGCUAUUGCCAUGGCAGCUGCGAUAGAGGUGUGCAUGGUGUUGAUGCGUCAGGGCUGCCGGCAGCACCGGCAGGCCAGUCCAAAAUGCCAAAAAGCCUCUUGAGCUCUGCCGGGGCCGGCCCCCUGCCCGCCGCCGGCGGGAGAUGCUCAGGGCAGGAGGUCCCCAUCACUCUGGGGAGCACAGGGAAGCCGGCGCCCGCGGGCAGGGUCCCUCCGUGUCACCCCGGGGUGCCGGGCUCCCCCUUGCCAUCGGGGGCUGGCAGGCAGGCGGGGGGGGGCUGGCAGGCUGCCGGGAGCUCACACGCCUUCACGCUUGGUGGGGCCGAGCUGCCUGUGCCCGGGGUGUGCAGGCAGCAUCGAGGCUGCGGCCACGGCUCCUCUGGCAGGGAAGGCCGGCGGGCUGCCGGGGCCCUGCCCGCCGUGGCACGAGCCCAUGGCGGCGCAGCGCGGCGCGUGGCUGCCGGGGCCGCGCGUGCUGCGGGGCUGCAGGCGUGAGCAGGUAUGUGCCUCUCCGGGGAGGCGGAGCUGGGUCUGCUGCAUGGCUCCCUGCCCGUCCCUGCCAGCGCGGCCAUCCCUGUCUGCGUGUGUGUCUCCCAAGGAGAGCGUGGUGCGUGUGCACGUGUCCGGCUGUGUGUGCGUGGGGGAGUCCCGCGGCCGCCCGGCGUGGCGGCGAGGCGCUGCCAUCGUGGGGGCUGCCGCAGCUGGAAGUGCCGGCCGCUCGGCACGGUUUCCCGGGGCGCCCGUGUUGCAUCACCGAAACUCCCGGCAUGCUUCCUCACUCUCUCCCCUGUCCUCCA